rnacentral:lncRNA from 1 species
CAAGAAUCACACUCUGUUUCUAGUGAAGAAAUAAAACAGGAAUUACUCUUGUGUCGACCAAUGUUACAAGAACAAGGUUAGGAAACAAGCAAAUGGAUGGGGAAGCACAGCAGAUUUAUUAAUAAAUUUUUCUAUUUCAAGUGACGUCAAUAGUACGAGUGGUGUUUAUAAACACAACGUAAGUUUAAAAAGUAACAAUUUAAAUCAAAGUUAUCUUAAUCAUAGAAGUGGUUGCACGAUAUUUCUUAAGUGAUAUUUUACUAAAUGGUACUGCUCAUUUGGAUUUCUACAUGACAGCAUAGCCUUGAAAGAGAUUACCCUAAUUUCUUAAGAUGAUUAAAAAUUAACAAUCUUACCAUUUAAGGAGAUGGAUAUCAAGAAAGAUAUGUAAUGGAUUUAAAGAAACAGCAAAUUUUUUAUCUUUGCAAGAAAUUACAAAUGGUAACUAUGAGUAGUUUAGUCAGUCACUGGAAGCAGGCAAUCUUAUUUGAUCUAGUUGCCUGUAUGUAUGAUGAUAAUUACCAUCUUGGACCAGUCGAAGUUCAAUCAAGGAUCAAAAUUUGAUUGCUUGGAAGAAAUGUGCAGUUGUACGUACACGAUCCUUUAGUUCAAAUGGAAGAAGAAAAUGAUAAUAGUCCAUUUUUUACAGUCAAGAUAUUAAAAAAAUGUUCAGGGCAACGGCAGAGGCCAUCAAUGGAUAUAAUGACGAGCUGAACCCCCAGAUUGAUUCAUAGGAAAUUUCAAAUUAUUUUGAAUUUUUAAAAGCAUGUCAGGGCUGAGCUACGUAGCUGGGUAUAUUGCAAGAAAAUUUAUUGAAAAAUAUCCAGCACUUGGUACCAUUUCCUUGCAAGUACAUUAUGAUGAAGCCUUGCUUUGCCCCUCGCUUAUGCAUCUCUGAAAGGUUGGUUUUAUUGUUCCAGAAGAUUUUUUUAAAUUGUUGUAAGCUUUUUAAUAGUGAUUUUUGUCAUUUCCAUAAUUAUGUAGAUCAUGACCCCAAUUUCAUCCGCCAAUUAGGCUCAUAUUUAACACAAAAGUAUGGAAAAAUAUUCCCAGAAGAAUUGUUGGAUUUUUCUCUAAAUUAAGAACAUUCAAUAGAAUUGAAUCACUUAAUUAUAAUUUAAGAGUGCAAGAAGCUAAUUCUAAAUGCUAAAGCCAGAAGUCAUAAUUUUUAUGCAUUAUAUUAUUUAACAAUAUUAUAUAGUUAUAUUAAUCUAAAUAAACAUUAAUAACUCUUUUA